rnacentral:rRNA from 1 species
GAUGAACGCUGGCGGCGUGCUUAACACAUGCAAGUCGAACGGAGCACCCUUGAAGGAGUUUUCGGACAACAGAUAGGACUGCUUAGUGGCGGACGGGUGAGUAACGCGUGAGGAACCUGCCUUGGAGAGGGGAAUAACACAUGGAAACGUGUGCUAAUACCGCAUGACAUACAUUUAUCGCAUGGUAGAUGUAUCAAAGAUUUAUCGCUCUGAGAUGGCCUCGCGUCUGAUUAGCUAGUUGGUGGGGUAAUGGCCCACCAAGGCAACGAUCAGUAGCCGGACUGAGAGGUUGACCGGCCACAUUGGGACUGAGACACAGCCCAGACUCCUACGGGAGGCAGCAGUGGGGAAUAUUGGGCAAUGGGCGCAAGCCUGACCCAGCAACGCCGCGUGAAGGAAGAAGGUUUUCGGAUUGUAAACUUCUUUUAUGAGGGACGAAAUAAAUGACGGUACCUCAUGAAUAAGCCACGGCUAACUACGUGCCAGCCGC